rnacentral:lncRNA from 1 species
UUAUUAUAAUUAUUUUCCCUCGGUCUCCAUUUAAAUUCUCUAAUUUCUCGUAUAGGACUACUGAGGUGACGUCAUACCUCGGUGAUGGAACGUACUUCACCUAUCGAGAAUUAUUUCGCGUUCUGUGAGUUUGACGUCGUACUCUUGGAAGGAGAGACGAAUGUUCAUCACUUGACUGGUGGCUGUAGGUGAAGUUGGUUGCUACCAUAGAAUAUUAGAAUGGCGGUUGGUUUUUUAUUUUAUAACAUCAGUGAAAAGUGAAAAAGUUACCACAAAUGGUUUUCUACAGUAGGGAGGCAUGUGGGUAGAACAACCCCUCUUGGAAUAGGAAUAGAAAUCACCGCCAUUUUGGAGUAACCACAUGGUGAACUCAUAGCCCUUUGACACCUAGGGAAACCACUACAGCCACAGUCAAGUCACCAUGGGAAUAUGUCGAUUUGGGAGCAAGCGAUGGGACAUUCCAGUCCCACUUUUGUCAUCUUUACACCGGUAUCUACGGGAAACAUGGUUCAGCACCUCCUCUGGUGCUAAUUUUAGGGGUUGCAGCAUCAGACUUCACUUUGAGGUCGUCCGAUGAAGGGAUUGGUUUGGGCAUUUAGUGCCAAAAAGAACAUGGAGAGCAGUCCAGCACUCUGAAUCGACGAUUUUUGACUCUUAUUGGAGUCAUCAUCGGAGAGGCCUGCUGAUCUCUGCUCGAAGUGACCAAACCAUGAAAGUUUAUCCCCGCAUUGCAACUGACGUGUAUGGAGUAGGUGACUAGCGUCAUCUGGCAACUGAAAGGACUGAGAAUUAACUUAAUUUGGCCCUGUCUUGCACCCUGUAGUAGCCGACCCGGAACUAAGGUGGUUCACGUGCCCCGGAAGGAAGAUUUCAGGGAGCGGCAAAAUUUGAACAGUUUAUAAAAAAUAAUAAGUUUUUUAAUUUUUUAUAAUAAUCGAUAUUAUUUGAUUUUAUUUAAUUUUGUUGCAAAAUUUACCAGCUUUAUUACGUUGACGAUAUAUCCUCGUCAUACGCAAGCUUAUGCCAAAUUAGGCAGAUUGUUAUUUUAUGAAUUUCUGGUCUAAAUGACAUGGUCUAAAUGAAAUAGUCCAAAUAUGUUAUCGAAAUAAUAUUUUCCGUGCUUUUUUUCUUAAAGGAGAUUAAAAAAAACAUAUGUAGGUAGGUGAAAAAAAAUAUGUAGGUACCUACAUAUGUAACCGUCAGGUUCACACAACAGUAUAUCAAUUUGUGUAAAUUUUGCUCGUCAUUUUAUUAGAGGUAACAAAAAGAAAAGAUUUUUCGCUAAAUAAAGUUUAUUUGUUGUCUAAAACCAAAAAGUCUCCUAUUGCCAGUUUGAAGGCAUAUAAGUCUAACAUAUUCUGUUUAGGCAAUCUUUUUUUUAAGUCCAUUUUGUAUUGAAGCCAAGCAUUCACUGAAGUAGAGCCAAAAAAAUGUUCAAUGGCUCUUACUGGCCAAUUUCUUGUUUUAGGGUAACUCCGAUAGAUAGAUUUGAUGUUAUUCUAUUGUUUAAAUCAACCCUUCUUAUUUUAUCUUUCUCGUUUGGAGUAAAAAGGCGAAAGUUUAUAAUUGACUCAUUAUCUUUCUGUCAGUUUUUAUUGACACAUCGUUGUUAUAAGUCUCUUCUACUAGAUGAUCUACGAAUGCCUCUUCUACCUGCACGUCGACCUCUUUGAUUAGGUGCAUUUUUUAUAACUGAAGAGUUAAGAAAAAGCUCAUUAAAGGUUAUUCAAUUGCUAUUUCUUUCACUGUCACUAUCAUUAUCAUUGUCCUUUUCUCCACUUGUAUAAUUCUAGGCUCAGUGGAGGCUGCUCUUCAGAUAAUGAAAACACCAACUAGUAAUGCGAGAUUUUAUUUAUAAGACCGACACUAAGGGUAGUUACCCCGGGAGAACUUUGAGUAAUGACUUGUGACUUGUACGCGAUUUAGUUAAAGACUCUAUGAUGCUACAUAUUGACUGAAGUUAAAGGCACAUCUUGCCUGGUU